rnacentral:miRNA from 1 species
UGUGAGGUUAGAAGAGGGGUAC